AUCCCUAACCCAAAAUCAGUUUCUCCUCUCCCUUCUCCUACCUCGCAACAUCUCCUGUCCGUCAUCACUGAGGCCAUCAUCUCCAACGUCCCUCGGCCCUGGUUGCCGACCCAGAACGAGAAAGGUGUUGCUGCUGCUGCUGCUGCUGCUUCUGCUUCCAGCGUCCUUAGGCUCUCGCCUUUCAUCUUCUUCGCUCCGUUCGCCCUGUCAUCUCCGGCGUCACAGAGUUCCCGAUUCGGCUUCACAUCUCCCCCGAGAUACUUCAAAGCUCUUUUUUGAAAACAAAAUCCUAUCCAAACGGCCUCGAAGUCUCUCGGCGCGGCAUCGGCUCCUUGCGACCACUCUAUACUUCUUUGCUACCGAUUGGCGCCAAGCGUCGCCCUCGCCAAACCCACAUUAAUUUGAAGCGCUGCUAAUUUUUCCGUCAGUGCUUCUGCAAACCGACAUUAAUGCAUCGACAAGUUUAUUUUGUGGAUCAGGUUUUUCCUGCUUUAGUAGUUGGAAAGGGGUAUCAUGAUAUUGAGCUGCAGUGGAGGGGUUGUCAAUAUUCACUUCAUACAUCUCAUAAAGUAAUAAGGUAGAAGGAUGCAGAAAUUGGGUGAUUUCAAGCUGCCCCACUUCUUCAAUUAUCCACCAUGCUUCACCCAGUUAAGGACACCAGGGAAAAGCAAAUACAACUUUGGAAGGAACUAGUACUUGAUUUCUGUAGAGCUCAAAAUAUUUUUUUAAUUGAACUGGAAAAUGACUUUCUUCUGUUCACAAAUCCUGUAAUUGAAAGGUCUCUAAGUCAUGAAGCUAGGGAGGUGUUUCUGUCAGCUUUAGUUUUGAAGAAUGGAUGGACAAGGGACACAGAAAAUGCCUUAUCCUCUGGCACUGCAUCCAAGAUUAGGCUGACUUGAUUUUAGGAUUGGUGAAAGAUAAUGGCUUGGAAGAUAGUGUAAUGACAGUGGAAAAAAUUCGAUCAGGGACUGAAUCUCGGGGAACAGGUAAACUAUGAUUUCUAAAAAUACUUCUUGAUACCAGUUUAUUGGCAGGAGUAGGAGGAAUAAGUGAAGGAUCUUUGUAAAAUUGUAGUUUUUUGUUGUGCUUUAUUUAAUGUCAUUGUACUAAUGUUCAAUGUAUAUUUGUUGGAUGCUAUAUAUAUAGAGCUUCAUGGAGUGGAGCAGACAGUUCUAAUGCAAGCUCUGAAGCUACUAGAACACAAAGCAUUUCUGUUUCUUAACUUUUUUGAAAAAUACCAUUUUCAUGUUUCUGUUUCGUAUUAGAAAUGUUUUUUGUUUCUAUUUUCGUGCAACAUAGAAUAAUACUACCAAUUCAUCGGUGACCCCUGCACCAGCGUGGAGUCUUACAUGGGCGAGAAGGUGGUCUUCUAGUAUUAAUUUUUUAAAAAUAAUUGUGUUUUGCUCAAUUUUUUUAUUAGAAAAUGAUAAAAUACUGAAAAAUUCCUAUUUCUUUUAUUUCACUUCUUUUCAGGGAGUAACUAAUGUUUGUUCUUAUGUAGAGACUGAUGAAAACAUAUUUAGAGAUUUGUGUUACACAGUAUUUUUGGGAUGUUUUUAAUUGUUUUUGAGUUUUCAAAUAGAAAAUAUGAAUUUUAUAAUUUAUACAUGAUAAAAAAUAUUAUAAAGUAAAAAUAUCAAUAAUGUCAGUAUUGUAAAUAGUAAAAUAUUAAUAACGAUUAAAAUAUUAUUAUAAUAUCAAAAAGAUCAACAACAUUACUACUUUUGUAAAUUGUAAAAAUAAGAAUAAAUACUAGACUUGACUAAUAGUAAAUAAUAAAAAUAUUAAUAACCCCAAUAUAGUAUUAUAAAAUUUCUAAAAUCGUAAAAAGGAUUUAAAUUUUUAAAAUUUAAAAUUGUCAUCAGAUAGCAUUUAUGUACUCUUUUGGUCAUGAGGCAUGAUAUUAGCUGAUCUAUUUGACGAUUGCAUGACACCUCUACAUUAAUGGCUUUGCAAGCUAGUAUUUUAAUAAAAUUGAAGUCUCUCUCUCUCUCUCUCUCUCACACACACACAAUGCAUUGAACUUGCCAUCAUGGAUAUCUCUCCUCAAACAUUAUAUUAUUGAUGAACUAUAUAUUAGGGGAAAAAGAUUAUUGUUUUAUUGUAUUUUAUUAUUUUACUGAUCUUUAUGUAUUUGUUGGGUGUUGUAAACCUUUGUGCGUUUGAUUUAGAUAGUCCUAAUGCAAGUCCUAAAACUACUAAUAGUAAAUAGUAAAAAUAUUAAUAACCCCAAUUUAGUAUUAUAAAAUUUUCAAAAUUGUAGAAAGGAUUUAACACUUUAAAAUUUAUAACAUAAAGCUAAUCUUAGGAUGAAGCAUAAUAUUAGCUAAUCUCUUUGGCGAUUGAAUGACACCUCUAUGCUACAUUAAUGGCUUUGCAAGUAGGCAUUUUAAUAAAAUUGAAGUCUCUCUCUCUCUCCCUCACGCGCACGCACACACAAUGCAUUGAGCUUGCCAUCAUUGAUACCUCUCCUCAAACAUUUUACUAUUGAUGAAUUAUAUAUUAGGAGAAAAAAAUUGUUGUUUUGUUGUAUUUCAUUAUUUCACUAAUGUUUAUGUGUUGUUUGAGUGUUGUAAACCUUUGUAGGCUCGAUUUAGACCGUCCUAAUGCAAGUCCUAAAACUAAUAUUACACAAGGGGAAGCUUACCAUCUUCAAGGGAGCUUCAAUUGAUGUUGAAGGGGCCAAAUUUUCUAUACAGUGCUUUCUCAUUUUCAUGAUUUUUUUUUAUAUGUUACUAGCUUAUGACCACAAGAUGGAACUCAAUUGUUGGUUUAAUUUAUUUAUCUUAAAUUUUAUAUUUUUCAGAAUAUGGUAUAGAAAAUUAUUAUAUUAGCUAUAAAAAUUCUAAUUUGUUA